UAGCUCAGUUGGUAGAGUGAUUGCCUUGCAUACAUAAGGUCCUGGGUUCGAUCCCCAG
rnacentral:tRNA from 1 species